rnacentral:rRNA from 1 species
AGGCUUAACACAUGCAAGUCGAGGGGCAGCGCGGGGCGGCAACGUCCUGGCGGCGACCGGCGGAAGGGUGCGUAACGCGUGAGCGACAUGCCCGUUGCCCGGGGACAACCGGUGGAAACGCCGACUAAUCCCCGAUGGGACGGAGGCCCUCAUGGGUCUCUGUUGAAAGUUACGGCGGCGACGGAUUGGCUCGCGUCCGAUUAGCUAGUUGGCGGGGUAACGGCCCACCAAACCGACGAUGGAUAGGGGUUCUGAGAGGAAGGUCCCCACAUUGGGACUGAGAUACGGCCCAGACUCC